AGCGAACGCUGGCGGCAGGCUUAACACAUGCAAGUCGAGCGGGCGUAGCAAUACGUCAGCGGCAGACGGGUGAGUAACGCGUGGGAACGUACCUUUUGGUUCGGAACAACACAGGGAAACUUGUGCUAAUACCGGAUAAGCCCUUACGGGGAAAGAUUUAUCGCCGAAAGAUCGGCCCGCGUCUGAUUAGCUAGUUGGUGAGGUAAUGGCUCACCAAGGCGACGAUCAGUAGCUGGUCUGAGAGGAUGAUCAGCCACAUUGGGACUGAGACACGGCCCAAACUCCUACGGGAGGCAGCAGUGGGGAAUAUUGGACAAUGGGCGCAGGCCUGAUCCAGCCAUGCCGCGUGAGUGAUGAAGGCCCUAGGGUUGUAAAGCUCUUUUGCGCGGGAAGAUAAUGACGGUACCGCAAGAAUAAGCCCCGGCUAACUUCGUGCCAGCCGCCGCCGUAA
rnacentral:rRNA from 1 species